UCCUGGCCAUCGGGGUAAGGGGCAGACUCCUGAGAGCCACAGUGUCAGCUCUGCACCCAGUCUCAGGACCACAGAAAUUCUCUGCUUCAGCCCUGAGGUGUCUUCUGCAUCCUGAAAUGAAAAAACACCCAGCUUCCAGUCCCCAUCCCGACCCACCAAGAACUGCGUUCUUGAUUAACCACCCCUUCUCCACUCUUAUUUGGGGAACCCACACUAGACUUUGCAGCUGGGCCCACUUUUACUAAUCCCCAGGCUGCUGGGCACUGUGAGCCCUGCGCACUGAAGGCUCAGCGAAAGGGAAGUUGGAGAAAAUCCGCGCCGGCAGGGGGACUCCGAGUCCACGCCCCGCGGUACGCAUGCGCACAGCUGCCUGCCCCUUUCCCGGCCGCGCGAGUUCUGAGAGUUGCGUGUGCUGUCCGGGGCCUCGGGAGCGUUGCCAAACCUGAAGUUUUUCAUUCAAGUGCUCCCUACAAGGGAACAUCUGGACACAGAGAAACACACAGAGGGAAGAUGAUGUGAAGACACAGGGAGAAAGCCGUGUGAACAUGAAGACGGCCAUCUACAAGCCAAGGAGAGAAGCCUGGAACAGAUUGUCCCUCACAGCCCCAGGAAGGAACCAGACCUGCCGACAUCUUGAUUUCAGACUUCCAGCCUCCAGAACUUUUGGUUCUAUCUAUCUGAGAGAGAAGACUGAAACAUCACUCCAGUGCUCUCCACAACUGGUUUGAAACUGAUGGAAUGGAAUAUCAGUUUCUAUAUUCAAACAACAGUUGGUGGUGUUUUGGUUGUUCAUCUAAUUAGACUUCCUGGUCCAUUGACAAGUGAAGAAACUAAAGAUGCCACUAGCUAACAAUGGGUAAUGAACAUUAAGGACUUCAGAGUUUCUCUCAUCACAGUUACAUUUAACGGGAUAACCAUACAAUCCCAGAUACAGGACAAGGAUGUUUCCCCCUUGAAAAUAUCCUGAGAAAAGAGGAAGUAAUCACCUUAUAUUCGAGUCCUUAUAAAAUAUCUCAUUCUGAACAACAAAGUUCUGUUUGAAGACAACAUAUUAUCUUGAAAUUAUUUCAAUCAAUGUUAAUUUUGGAUACUUAGAAAGGUCACUUUGGAAGAACUAGUUAAUAAAAAAGUAAAUAUUUAACAUUAAUUUUAGUAUUAUUUCUGAGGAUAUAAUCUCACCAAAGUGUUAGAUGUUACUGUAAAGAGGCUUUUAAAACUAAUUUUUAAAAGCUAUACAAUAAGUGAUUAUAUUGUACUGAUCAGAAACAACUAUCUACAAGGUAAAAGAAGAAACUGUCUUUUUAUUACAUGAAUGAAUAUUAGGACUUGGUGUAAGAUUCCCAGGAUUACAAUAAUAGAUUAAACACAAGUGUUAAUAGAUUGUGUUAAUAGAUUGUGUUAAUAGAUUAACACAAAAGUGUUAUACUGAAACUACUUGGGUGAGGAUGAAAACAAUGUGUUUUGGAAAAUUGUGUGAGAUUUCUUAAAAAGUGGUUCUAAUGAUGAAAACUUGAAUGUUGAAGACACAUUUGAAGAGUCUGAAUAAACUUACGAAAUGUGAGAACAGGAAAAAAGGAUUAUUUCUAACAUAUUAUUCCAAAGAAUGUGCUUCUAAAUAUUCACUAUGUUAUUAAAUAUUGUAAGUAGAUAUUUAACUACUGUCUAUGUCUUUCAAAAUUUAUAUAUUUAACAUGCCCUCAAAAAACUUUUCUUAUGCAUCUUCUCUUUAGGAAAGUGGGGACUAUCUAUUGCCCAUUCUACUAGACCAUUUAGAUUUUCACACGCUUGGGACAGCAAAGGAAUUUUGUAAACCCAACCUGACCAUAAUAUUUCACAGAGUGCUUUUAUAAACAAUUUCUAUAGUAAUCAAAAUAACAUGGAGUUACCUGAUAAGUGUUCCAGUAUAAAUGUCUUCUUAAAGAAUAGAAAUCUAUGUUAAUAUUUGAAUUCUACAAAUCUAGCAAAUUGAAAUGGGUUGAAUAUGGAAUAAAGUUCUUAAUACUAAAAAUAAAAGGAAAACAAGAUUUUUAGGAUGGAAAAAUGUUUUCUAUCCAAUUGUGUUUGCCUUGAAAGGUAAAUGCUAUCACAAUAAAUAUCAGUGAGUAAAUAUUGCUCACCACUAAGUAUUUUGUUGAAUUCAGUUUCAUAAACUAAUCAAGCAGCCCCCCCUUGGGCUGUAUUUUCUGAUUACAAAGAUCGGUUUUACUAUAAAGAAAAAAUUUUAAUAGUCUAAAUUUC